rnacentral:rRNA from 1 species
ACCAGACUCCUACGGGAGGCAGCAGUAAGGGAUAUUGGUCAAUGGGGGAAACCCUGAACCAGCAACGCCGCGUGAGGGAAGACGGUUUUCGGAUUGUAAACCUCUGUCCUCUGUGAAGAUGAUGACGGUAGCAGAGGAGGAAGCCCCGGCUAACUACGUGCCAGCAGCCGCGGUAAUACGUAGGGGGCGAGCGUUAUCCGGAUUCACUGGGUGUAAAGGGAGCGUAGACGGCCAUGCAAGCCAGGGGUGAAAGCCCGGGGCCCAACCCCGGGACUGCCCUUGGAACUGCAUGGCUGGAGUGCGGGAGGGGCAGGCGGAAUUCCUGGUGUAGCGGUGAAAUGCGUAAAUAUCAGGAGGAACACCGGCGGCGAAGGCGGCCUGCUGGACCGCGACUGACGUUGAGGCUCGAAAGCGUGGGGAGCAAACAGGAUUAGAUACCCGCGUAACA